CAGACUGCAGUGAAACGGAUUAACUCUCGUCAAGCCAGCAACCCAAGCUCCAACCACUGAACAAUUAUCUUUCUCUCCAACUGCUGAGCCUGUUCAGACUGACAACACAGUCCAAGGACCUGAGGAGGUCAAGGAGAAGGUCACCAUGAGACGAGGGAGAACAUUCUUCUACGUUGUCAAGCGGCUGAUGUGGAUGUGGUGUAGGAAUCAAC